GACAGAGGAGUCAAGCGUUGUCCGGAUUGACUGGGCGUAAAGCGCACGCAGGCGGCCCGGCGCGUGGGGUGUGAAAGCUGGCGGCUUAACUGCCAGAUGCCAUCCCAUACGGCUGGGCUCGAGCCCUGCAGAGGUCCAUGGAAUUGCCGGUGUAGUGGUGAAAUGCGUAGAGAUCGGCAGGAGCACCCAGGGGGAAACCAGUGGACUGGGCAGGAGCUGACGCUCAGGUGCGAAAGCGUGGGGAGCGAACAGG
rnacentral:rRNA from 1 species